rnacentral:tRNA from 1 species
GCCUUCGUGUGUAACUGGAAGCACCGUCGUCUCAUAUUCGAUAGGUCCAGGGUUCGAGUCCCGGCGAUGGUA